UGGCUCAGAAGGUAAAGCAUCUGUCUACAAUGCAGGAGACCCGGGUUCGAUCCCUGG
rnacentral:tRNA from 1 species